UGAAAAAUUCAAGCUGAGAUGAAAAAGAAGGAUGUAAUGCUGCACCGAACUUCAUAAGGGUCAAAAACGUAUGUGCCAUAAAUCAGAGGUUUCAAUAUGGGUCACAUGACGUCCAUCUGGGGUACUGCAUAAUCUGACAUACAUGAGGAGGCCGUGCCAAUCUCAUCUCAGGCAGUAACUAGAGGCAACAAUCGAACCCAUGUUGCUAGGAUCCAUGUUGCAGUGUAGCUGUCACUUCACCUUCUCUGUCAACUUGUCACCCUGUUCUACAAACAAGACAAAGUUUUUUUGGCUAAAAUACAUAACAUUAUGUUUGAGAAGCAAAAAGUGCUAGAAGCAAUAAUCAAUAAAUGAUGUUCCACAUGU